AGGUAUCUAAUCAUUGUUCUUUCCAUUCUAAUGUUUUUUAAUUGUAGCAUAAUUGAACUUCAAAGUAAAGAAGAAAAGUAGGAGCAACGUGGUAAUGAAAAAAAAAAAGGAAAACCAGGAAAUUUGAAACUAGUGAUCCAUUAUGCAGCAAAGAUAUGUAUGUAAUUUGAAGUAAAGUAAAUAAUAAUAGAGAGGAGGGCAAUGUUUUUUUAAACUGCAGCAGAGCUAAGCUGAAAAAAGAAGAAAAGUAGAAGUAACACGGCAGCGAAGUAAAAAAAGAAGAAAGUUGAGAAAAAAAUGUUGAAAGUUGAAACUAAUGGCGGAGUCGAGGCUACUAAUUGCCAUGGAAAUUUCGCAGCGUCUGGUGAAUUCGUUCAGGAGGUCCCGUGGCACAGUCGAGGUCGGGAGUUGAAUCUAAAUGAUCCUGGUUCUCGGAAGGAGAGGACCAUCAGGACACGCGACACUUCCCAAGUCGAAGGAAGCGUGCCCUUUCUUAUUUUUUCCUCCUCUUUGGAACCCUGUGGUUGCUACGGGCCCCUGGAAUCAUCCUGGUGAAAGAUUCAUCGUUGCUGUUUCAGCAGACUCUAUAUAUGUUACCAACUAAUGCAAUUUGUAGAUCUUUGAUAAAAAAAAGGAGAAAACCAGUCUCCAGGGAUGAAUUUUACAAUAGAAAUGACAUAAGAAACAAAAUCAAUAACAUAAGCAAAUUAUCAAGUCAGCUACUGAUAAUAUCAAUUUUGAUUUAUAAGAAGAUAAAAAGAAGAUAUAUGUAUUGUGUGUGGAGAAAACCACUGACGCCAUUUUCUUUGGGAUCCCCUUUAUUUUGUCCGGACCAAUUGUAGACGAGUCUCACCUGUACAUUACCUCUCACCUGUGCUUUAGUCUCCUAUUGGAGGAUUGAAGGCAGGUAACAGGCAAGUGUCCCUACCAAGCUGUAAUGGAGCUACUGGUACAAAAUGAAUCCUCUUUAGGAAGAGGAAACUAUUCUGUUUUAUUUUCAAACCACAUAAAAUUUCUUGAAUUAAAAGAAGCAUGGAUUUAUCAAGAUUGAUGUAAGCUAGUGGUUUUUCCGUAUUGGAAACUGGAUAUAUAUGUAUAGGACAUUUGUGACCAGGUGUGACAGACGUUUGCACUUGCAUUCGUGACGGUGUACACGCCAUGGACACGGCCGGCUGCUAGGUUUCGUCGAAACAGCUGGUGUCUGAUGUUGUCCCUACCCGAUGUCAGACUUGGAGCUAUUAAAAUUCAGCGAAAUCCAUCGCACCAACUCAGAACUAGCCGUAGCUCUUACUACAUACUAUUUAAUAUUACAAUAUUUUAUGGUGGAUGAAAGGGAAGAAACAUUACUAAAAUUUCUUCAAUGAAUGUUCCAAGAAGGCUCUACUUCUUUGUCACAGUCUGAUGAGGACUUUCAGGAACCUGAUCCAGUUGAUCAUAGUAAUGCGAUUGGACACCAAUGAGAUUCGAUCAACGAAGCUAAUCCAGCCUUCGCGAUUGGAUAGUGAUGUGACGGUAGAGGGUUGUUCUUCUCUCCAUUUCUCUCCCUUUCUUUUCUUGAAACCGACGACACGCAGUCGCGGAGGGGCGGCGCCUUCGAAUGGCAGCACCCAAAGCGCUGACGCCUUCGGUUUCACAGCGUGCUUCCGGCUUCAACUAGAGCAACAAUCUCGACUAUCAGAAAUCUUUCGACCGUUCUGAAAUAAACCAGGAGAGCACGUCGGGGCUUCCCAUUCGCCUUCGAAAAUGUGUUUACACGGCACUAUACACUUCACCGGAAUAAUUCUCGAUGUCUUUUUGCUCCGUACGAAAACGAACGAGUUUUCCUUGGCGCCUGUAUUGUGAGGUCCGCGAUUUCGCGGUAUCGCCUGAGUAAAUUCCAUCCAUCGGCGGGGGUGGCGGCUGUUACAAUUUACUGUUUCCACGUUCCGAUCUAUUUUAAUUAUUGCUGGCGAGCUUAGUCGCGAAAAAUUCCAUAAAUCUUCGUCUCCUGCGGUAAUUAGCGGGAAUACUUUCGACCAGCGGGCAUAAAUCCCGCAAUUCCUUCCAGGAACCUCGGAACAUUGACGACACGAGGUGCAACACAGAUCCAGUGUCUCUCAAGUAACCGAAUUUUUCAAAUUGAAGUGACUGAAAGUUCAUUUCUGAAUGUUUUACGCGAUAAUUGUUGAAGAAGAAAGAGGAAGGAAAAUUAUAGAGUGGCUGAAAAAUGGUCAGAAAUUGAUUUAAAAUCUUGUUCGAAUUUUUUAAAUAAUAAUUGAAGAAGAAAGGAGAAGAGAAUGGGAAUUGGCAAUCAGUAUCGGUUAUUUAUCAUAAUGCAAACUUAAUAUAAUAUUAAUUUAAUAUAAUAUAAAAUAAAUAAUAUAAUUAAUAUAUAAUUAUAUAUAUAAUAUAAUAUAAUAUAAUAUAAAAUUCUAUCUUAAAAUCUUUUGUUAAAGAUUCUUUAGGAAAGACUGGCUUAGACGUUUCUGGUUCUUAUGAACUUUUAGAAAAUUAAUUACUGGGCAAAGCCAAUUUGAGGUGCUGUGUCACGGCGUGAUCGUUUGAAAAAUGGAGGGACGUCGCGUAAAUCGGUAUUAUAGAGGCUUGAACGGCUGUAACUGUUCUUAAUUCGCGGGGACGUUUAUUUGCUGCACCCCGAGGCAAUAUAAUUCGACGCGUUUCCGCUAUUUUUAUCGUUUCGUGAUUCAUUUUCCCUACUAUUAAAAAGAAUUAUUGCCUUCGAGACUCAGAACGUGUUACUGCACCGACACUUUCCUGUCUUUUUAUAAUCUCUUCAUUCCUAACCUCCAAGUAAUUCGUUUUACACUUAUUUAAACUACCAUAGAUUAAUCAUAUCUUCUUUUAUUUCCAGAAAGACGCGUACUUAUAAUUUCUUCAAUAUCAUUCUUGAAUUAAUACUCAUUCAAACAUGCCUGCAUCUUCAUACAGAGAAGUAUAAAUUAGUUUUUAAUUCAUACAUCUUGUAUUCAGGAGCAAAUUUUAUUUAAGAACAUUUCAGGAUGAAAAAUAUUGGAAGAAAUUGUUUUCGAAUGGUAAAAAUACCUUUUAUUGUCGAAAGAGUGGAAACUGCGCUGAAGAUAAUAAUCGCUUUCCGUUCGCCGUAAAUCUCUCCUUAUGAACGGUGGCGAUAGGGCUUGCCUGCACGAAAAUAGAGUUUUUUCCUGGCCCUCGUAAAAUAUUUAUAUGCGCAAAUAGUGGAGAGCCGGGUUGAAAAUAGGGCUGAACGAAAAGAAGACAUAGAUAAGAGACCCGUGGAAUUUAUUCUCCUUCUUCUGUGUUGUUUUUCACCCCGGAAAUAUCUCUUUGGUCGGCACAUGAAAUUUUCCUUGCGAAAAACCUCAAACCAAUUUUUACUUUGAUCUCCUACGACUUUUCAUCUGACACUUAUCGUUUCAGUCUCUUUAUCUUUAAAUAGGGUAAAAAUACUGUUACAUCGAAGAAGGAACAGUUCCCUCAUUUACAGAAGAAAUCAUUUAAAAUUAACAUUUCUUCUUUUACAUUAAGCUACAUUCAUGAAUUUUAAAUUAAGAAAAAAUAUGUGAAAUGUCUUGUAGUAAAAAAAAAAGUGGAAUUUUUUAGUUGUCUUCUCUAUUGGACGAAGCUCUAAAAUCCUUUCCUGUGCAGAUGUUGACGACAAAGUAUCUAGGGAAUCGAAGAGGUGACAAAAUCGGUCCUUCGGUUUUAAUAGAGAAAUGGACCCAUUACGCUAUCGCUUGAAAAAACCGUUAUUCAUGUUGGACAGCUGUUUCCUUGGUUAAAAAAAGGUUGCUGCCGCUUUUCGAAAGAAACGAGUGUGAAGUGAUCAUCCAAAAUGGGCAAUGAAGUUUUUUAAAUUUUCUUUUUUUUUAAGAAAAUUGAAAAGAAGGACCUAACAAUCAUUAUUUUACUGAAAAUCGUAUAAUUCUAUCUAAAUUAUGUUUUUUAAGAGUAUCUUAAAAAAUUUAUUUCUGAGGUGAAGUUCCCUUUUUAUUAAUAUUGAAAGUGGAUUUCGAUCAUGCAAUGGAAGUAGUCGGUCAGAUCUUUGUUAGAAAAUCGUUCCGACUUUCCAGUCCCGCCUCCCAAACAGGAAAUUAGUUGCCGACAGGCGGUUCGAAUUAUACAUUUCUCGGUAAAGACCUCCUUUUUCUAUCUUCUGCCUCGAUUUUGCUUCAUCGGCCACAUCAAAGC